rnacentral:lncRNA from 1 species
GUUGCCUUUAAUAUUUUCUUUGUGUCAAUACUAAUGGUACAUUCUUGAAAUCUCAUGCAUAAGAAAAAUAAAAUAUACAACUUCCUCAUAAAUGUGUAGAAACAGUAAUGCUCUUCUACAAUACUAUUACAAUAACCCUGGUCAAAAAUAACAUUGUACUUUCAAGUUUGUCAGAAUCUUCAACUCAUUAUUGUUCUUGUUUUAGAAUUUACACAAGAAAUCUAUCUUUAGAUACUACCGGUUAACUUCAACAAAUUUAUUCUUAAAUCAAUGAGAACUAUUUCAAGACUUGGUCAGUAAGUGUUUUGUAUAUUCCUCUUCUUAUAUACACCAUCCAGAAACAAAAAUGGAAGCAAAAGCUAAAUUUAUUGUUUGAGAUUGUCACUAGAACAUAUUUAUAGAAAAACAAUACUACCAUGAAAUAUACAUUGCCUAGUUUAUAUAUUAACUAUUGAAAGAAUUAUUUCAAAAUUAAAUGUUUUGAAUAAGAAAAUUGUCAUUUAUUCCAAAUAAAUCUGAUAAAAGAAAUAUUGAACUCUCUUAGUUUUUAAUGUAACAACCUUUGGAUAACCUAUCUUGUUCAAUUUUACUAUAUUAUAAAUUUAAAAAUCAUUCUACCUUCAAUUCUCUAUCUUAUUAAUGAUAAUCAAUUAAAUUCACAAUAUUAGUUGUUAUUUUUAUAUAUGACUUAAAAUAUUUUGACAUUAAAAUAACCCAAUAGAAAAAAAGCUAGUUUAUUUGAUGUUUUCAAAGAAAUUUUUAUCAUUUCAAACUACCUAAUUGUCAAUCUAU